GGAGGAUUUAAACCGAGGUCACAGAGCCAGACUGCUGGGGUCCUGGGGUCCUCUUAUGACGUAAAAAAGCCCAGUGCCAAGAGCGAAGGAUUUGGAGACAGACUGCAAAGGUCCCCACCCCAGCUCCUCUACCUGGAGAGGCUGAAAAGCUCAAUGAAAUUUCCCACCUUCCUGGGAGCAAGGGGAGGCCACUUGACACAUUUCUGGUCAGUGAGAUGCAACACAGGGAAGACUGAGGAACCAUUACAGCCUGGAGGAUAGGAAGGAGACAGGGCAGCCCCACACGGUGUGGCAUCCUGAGGAGGAUCCUGGCAUAGAGGACGGUCGUCGGUGGAAAAGAAGCAAAACAUGACUAAACCCUGUGACUGAGUUCAUCAUACCAGCGCUCGUUUCCUGGUUCUGGUAAUCGUACCAAGGUGCAUAAGACGGUAACGUGAGGGGAUGCUGGGUGA